rnacentral:rRNA from 1 species
AGUGAACGCUGGCGGUAGGCCUAACACAUGCAAGUCGAACGGCAGCACAGUAAGAGCUUGCUCUUACGGGUGGCGAGUGGCGGACGGGUGAGGAAUACAUCGGAAUCUACUUUUUCGUGGGGGAUAACGUAGGGAAACUUACGCUAAUACCGCAUACGACCUACGGGUGAAAGCAGGGGAUCUUCGGACCUUGCGCGAUUGAAUGAGCCGAUGUCGAAUUAGCUAGUUGGCGGGGUAAAGGCCCACCAAGGCGACGAUCCGUAGCUGGUCUGAGAGGAUGAUCAGCCACACUGGAACUGAGACUCGGUCCAGACUCCUACGGGAGGCAGCAGUGGGGAAUAUUGGACAAUGGGCGCAAGCCUGAUCCAGCCAUACCGCGUGGGUGAAGAAGGCCUUCGGGUUGUAAAGCCCUUUUGUUGGGAAAGAAAAGCAGCAGGUUAAUACCCCGCUGUUCUGACGGUACCCAAAGAAUAAGCACCGGCUAACUUCGUG